rnacentral:ncRNA from 1 species
AUGGGAGAAAAUUAGUAAAUCUUAGUUUGCCUGUCAAUGCAUAGUGUUUUGCUGCCAUGGACGGCAGCAAAAGUCUUAAUGCCCCAUGGAAGGGGCAUUUAAGACGUACACGUCACUGCGAGAACAUUUAAAGCAGGCGGACUUAGAUUUUCUUAUUUUCGUAC